rnacentral:lncRNA from 1 species
AGCCUGGGAGCUGCGAGAAGGGAAGGACAGGUCCUGGGACCAUAAGCUCGCGUGUCUCCACAGUUGCACAUUCCCGUCCGUCUGCAGCUCAUUAUCUGGGCCACAAGGACGUUACCCCAUGACUUGGAAGGACGCGCCAUCACGCAGGAGGUCACAAAGUGGACGGCAGGAAAGCCAGCCUUCCCUCUUCUGCCUUCCUCCUCACCUCUCUCUCUCUCUCUCAGUACUUUGUUCUUGUUAAUAUCAGUGUAUCAAUGAGCCUGGUUUUUUGCCUUUUAUUAUUAUUAUUAACAUAGUGAGCACAGGCGUUUCGUACUCUGCGUCUGAUUUUCCAGCAGCGAAGCCUCUGCCAUCCGCCCCACCGUCCCGCUGGCUCUUGCUCAUUGUCUUUCCCUUCCCUGCUUGCCUGCUCCCUCACGCCCCUGCUCUGCGUGUUGGAUGUGAAAAGGAUGUCAGGGACUAGGCGGAGGGCAUGUUCCUCCGAGCCCAGGCUGCACCUUGGCACAGUGGAGGGUCCACCCACCCCAGGUAGCCCAGGUGAGGCCCCUGGGUCCCCCUGUCACUCAGGCUGUCCACAUGAAAGUCCAGAUGUCUCCGACCAACAGAUCCCUGGGAGAAAGGACGUGACGCUGCCGCUUCACCGGGAUGGGUUCCCACGUCCCUCCGCGUUGACCCACAGCUUCCUUACGGUCUUGUAUGUAGUUUGAUGCUUUUAAGGGCCGGCCACGGUGGCUCAACGCCUGUAAUCCCAGCACUUUGGGAGGCCAAGGUGGGCGGAUCAUGAGGUCAGGAAUUCGAGACCAGCCUAGCCAAAAUGGUGAAACCCCGUCUCUACUAAAAAAUACAAAAAUUAGCAGGCACGAUGGCGGGCCCCUGUAAUCCCAGCUACUUGGGAGGCUGAGGCAGGAGAAUCGCUUAAACCCGGGAGGCGGAGUUUGCAGUGAGCCGAGAUCGCGCCACUGCACUCUAGCUUGGGCAACACAGCAAGACUCCGUCUCAAAAAAAAAAUUGUUAAGACUAUUUUAUCCAGGUUCCUACUUGUUUUCAGUUAUGGGGUUGGGGGCGGGGUGGGAGGGCAAUGACCUGACACAGUGUUACCGGAUGAGGAGUCUGGUCUUGCUUUGCUUUCUCUGCCUUUUCUGUCUUGUCAUUGGCUCUCCCGCCCUCCUACACGCACCCCGCCUGUUGCUUCUCUCAUUCUCCAGUUCCCUUCCAAUCCCCCUUCACUUCUCUUUACUCCCCUCCCCCAGGUCAGUGCUCGGCGUUUCCUCCCUCUUUCUGUUCUCCCAUCCUCCCGGGCAGCUGUCUCUGUCCUGUUCUGUCUCCUGUUCUCCCGCCCCUCCAGCUCCUUCCCUUCCUCCUUUCUCCUGGGCCCUUCUCUGCCGCACCUUCCACAGCUGCUCUGUUCCUCCCCAUCCUCGUCUAGUCCCAUUCGUUGUCCUUUCUCUCCCUGGGUCACAGAGAUGGCCCCGGGGUGGCUGCGCCCUGUUGAGGCAGGGAACGUUUCUGCUGCAUGGCCGAGUUCCCAACCUGGACCCGCCGGGUCUGGCAGCCUGUCCCCGCAGUAGCCUGGGCUGUGCCCACGACACCCCCGCCGCCCAGCUACCCGGCCCUCUCCGUGCCUCACACUGGCUCCUAACCUGCUUCACGUUCCUGCUUCCUGCCCCGGUCUCUGGGCUGACGCUGUCUUAGGGGCGCCCCCUCCUCAGCUGGAGGGGCAUGGUCCUCUGUCGCUACUUCCAAUCCUCUCUCCCUUCUUUCUCUCCAUAUUGCUCUUCCACACUCAUGCACCUCUUCUUUCCUUUCUGCUUUUUUUCUCGCUCACUCACCCGCUGGAGUGCAGUAGUGCAGCCUCCACCUCCCAGGCUCCAGUGAUCCUCCUGCCUUAGCCUCUCAAAGUGCUGGGACCACAGGUGCGAGGCACCAUGCCCGGCCUGUUCUUUUCUCUCUGCCCUUUUUUGUAUUUUUUCCUUUCUCCUUUCCUUCUUCCCUAAUGUCUGUCUCUCUCCUUCCCUUCUUAACUUCCCUUCUCUCUCCAGCCCUCUCCUACCCUCCUUUUCUCUUUUCCCCUAUCUCCAGCCCUCUCCUACCCUCCUUCCCUCCCUCUUUCUCUCUCCCCCUCCGCACCGCUCCAUCUCCCUCUCGGUCCAGUCCGCUGUCUGUGCCCCCUCUCUGUUCCGUUUUCUCUCCCACCCUUCUUCCCUCUCCCAUUUCUUCUCUUUUCCCCUCUUCCUGUUCUCUUUUUCUCGCUGUCCUCUCUGUGGCCACCCUCCUUUUUCUCACUUCUGCUCUCCCUGUCCGGCUCUUCUCUCUCCUCUCUCCCUUCUAGCAGAUUCUCUGGCUGUUUCCUCUCCUCUCCCUCUGUGCUCCUCCCUCCUCCUCUCUCCUCCCAGCCACUAUCCUCUCUCUUCACCCUCUUCUCUUUCUGUCUCAUGGUCUCCUCCUAGCUCUUUUCCUUCCCAGUUCCUAGCUCUCUCCUUUCUCUUUCCUCUUCUCUGGCUGGAGCUCCCCGCUCCUCCAUCCCUCCCUCUCCCGGGGCCCCCUCUCCCCCACCCUCUUCUCCCCCAACACCCUCUCCCCCACCCACUUCUCCCUAGGACGCUCCCUCCUUCACCCGUUUCUCUGCUUCCCUCUUCUCCGAGCUCACCAGCCAUGGCACCCACCCUCUCCCUCUCUUCCUUCCUGUCCCUUUUUUCACCCCCUCGUCUUUCUUUCCUCUUCUGUUUUUUCUUCUCUUUCCACUUCUGACCCCCUACACUGUUUCCUUCUUUCUCCCUCUUCCUCUCUCCCCUCCUGCUCUGGCCAUCUUUUCUUUUUUUUUUUUUUUUUUUUUUUGAGACGGAGUCUCGCUCUGUCGCCCAGGCUGGAGUGCAGUGGCGCAAUCUCGGCUCACUGCAAGCUCCGCCUCCAGGGUUCACGCCAUUCUCCUGCCUCAGCCUCCCGAGUAGCUGGGACUACAGGCGCCUGCCACCAUGCCCUGCUAAUUUUUUUUUUGUAUUUUUAGUAGAGACAGGGUUUCACCGUGUUAGCCAGGACGGUCUCGAUCUCCUCACCUCGUGAUCUGCCUGCCUUGGCCUCCCAAAGUGCUGGGAUUACAGGCGUGAGCCACCGUGCCCGGCUCUUUCCUCCUGCUUUUUUCCUACACUCUCUCCUCCCUCCUCUCCUCCCUCUUUCUCCUGUUUGAUUUCCACCUCUUUUCUCUCCUCUCUCCUCUGAAUCUGCCUCUUCCUCUUCUCACCUCCCUCUUCCUUCCCUGUCUCUCCCCCUUGGGUCUCUCUUCCUUCCCUCUCUCUGGUUUCUCUGUCUCUGCCCUGUCCUUUCCUUUCCCUCCUCUCUGGACCUGUCUCCUCUCCUGGCUCUCUCUCCUUCAAGCUCUCACUCCCACUGGCCUCCCUCCCGGGAGCCCCGUCUCCUCCGUCUCCAGGUGGCCCCUGCAUCCCUGCCUGGUGGGCCUUUGCCUCCCUCUCCUGUUCCUGCCUUGCCUGCUCCCAGGUUUCCAGGUCCUGACCAGGAGGCAGGAGUCCAUACCGAGGCCCAAACAGGCUAGCCCUGAGCAGGGCCCCCAAGCCUGAGGCCCAGGAGUGGACAGACCUUUGUGACACCCAUUCUCUCUUCCUUUUCCAUCUGUCCGGAACUCUGGACACUGCCUGGAGGAAUCAGGCCUGCCGUAGGCCCAGGAAGGCGGAAACAAAGACGACGCUCAGAGACAGGAAGCAACUUGCCUAAAGAUACACAGCACAAAUGAGAAAAUUGGUGCCCAAUGUUUCUGAAGACCAGCAACUGCUAAGACAGAGACUUCGAGGGAACCCGACCUUGCCUGAAGGACCAACAGCGCCCCCUGCAGGACACUUCCCUCCAUUGAGAGAAGCCACAGGCGCCGGCCUGAGGCAUUCUGAGUGCGUGGAAUCCUCUAUUACCACCUCCUGGCAAAGAACGGAGCUGCAACCCAGCUAUAUGAGACACCGAGAAUGAUCUCAACAAAAAGGAACAGUGACCAGAAUGCCUGGGGGAGGAACAGGGGAUACUGGGUGGAAGGAGGGGAGAGGGAGAAGUUGUAAUAUUUUGUAAAAAUGAACAUUUUUACUCCUAAUCAAUAUACAAACAUCAUGCUCAGCAAACUUCUUGGUAUGAAACUUCUGAACUUCACACAUUUUCAAGUCAUUCUAUGGGUGGGUGGAUUGGCUCCCAUGGAAAUGCAACUGGGACUGCACAUGGGAAACAAAGGAAAAUGGAAUUUGGUUCACACAAACCUGUUUGGGAGAUUGCAUUUCCAGGAAAUGGGCCAAAUUGAGUUUGUUUCCUUUGUAACAACAUUGUUGUGCCUUGCUGACUGGAAGGUGGGUACAAAUAAAGGAGGAUGGACUGACAGCUGAAGAGGCACCAGUAAUUAGCCCCUAAUCCUUACCAGGGAGUCUCUCUGAUGGGUUAAAGAAGCCUACAGAGGCCAGGGGCGGUGGCUCACACAUGUAAUCCCAGCACUUUAGGAGACUAAGGUGGAUCGCUUGAGGUCAGGAGUUCAAGACCAGCCUGGCCAACAUGGUGAAACCCGGUCUCUACUAAAAAUACAAAAAUUGGCUGGGUGUGGUGGCACACGGUUGUAAUCCCAGCUACUCAGGAGGCUGAGGCAAGAGAAUUGCUUGAACCUGGGAGGUGGAGGUUGCAUUGAGCCAAAAUUGAGCCACUGCACUCCAGCCUGGGUGACAAGUGAAACUCCAUCCCACAAACACACCUGCCCCCCACCCACCAAAAAAAAAGGAGCCUAUAGUUUCCAGUAGACAAUUUGGGGUUAGUAAAGAAUUUUACAAAAUACUAAAUGUAGUCUUGUAUAUUUUAGGAUUGUUUGCCAUGCAACUAUGUACUGGGAGCACCUAAAUGCCCACAUGAAACCCUAGGCUGGGAAGAGGAAGGCUUUCGCAAUGCCACGCAGCCGAUAACAUUUUCUGGUGGCAGGAAAUGGGAGGGAGCAACCCCUCCUGGAGCAUUUACCUUGCCAGGUGCUCUCACAUCUUAGACCAGAAGUCACGAGGCUAGGAUGAGGGUCCAGGAGGCAGAGAAUGAGGAUUGAGUUAGGGUCAGGACAGUGGACACAGAGAGGAGGAGACACAGAAGGAUGGGUUGGGACUCUAUCCUGGGGGAGGUGAGAGGCCACGCGGAGGGCUGUGAGCAGGGGAGUAGUGAGGUCAGCUCUAGUGUCAGGAAGCUCUCCAUUAGGGGGAUGGACUGAGGGGGGGAUGUUGGGGGCUGGGAGGCCAAAGAGGAGGCUGGGCCGAUGGUCCAGGUGGCAGAGGACGAGGCUUGAGCUGGGACCAAGGCCAUGGAGACAGAGGUGACGGGAUGAGGCCAGGAAGAACUUUAGGGGUAGGUAUGGUGGUGCAUAGGAGAACGUGAUUGGGACAGGGCAGUGCUCUGGUCCAUGAGGUUGGGCAGGUGAUGGCACCACUCACUGGAACAAAGAUCCCUGGAGGAGCACCCGAUCCGGGCAGGUGGGAGGCACUGGCUCCUUUAGUGGCCCCUGAGGCACAUCCUGGGGAAGGAGCCCAGGAGGCAGCUGGGGCCAUGAGUCUGGAGAUCAGGGGUGGGAUCUGAGCUGGAGAUGAGUUGGGGAAUCGCUGGUGAAGAGGGGCUGUCUGGAACCUCCAGGGUGAAGGGAUGGGGCAGACACCUGGAGUAGCAAGGGGGAAGCAUGCACCACCAUCACACACACAUCCCUCUCCCCCAGCAAGGUGGGGCCCCACCGGGCCAUGUCUUCCACAGACACAUAUGUGUGCAAAAUGAUGCAGCAGAACAGGGGGACUCCUGCAGUGCUGCUUAGAACUACUCAAAUCCAGCAACACACUCUUACACCAGAGAUGGAAUAAGAUGGCACCUUAUACCAGAGAUGGAAACUGCCCCAGCUAUGUCAAAAGAAGGUGGGGGAAAAGAGCAACACUUGCAAAACUGUUGACAUGUGCAUCUGCUUGUUUCUGUGGAGAGUAUCUGCAGCAUACCAGGGGACAGAAAACUCAGGCUGCCUCCAGGGAGGGGAAGUGGGUGCUGGAGCCCAGAGUGAGCAUACAGUUUCUGGACGUGGAUUCCACUGCAUCUUUUGUCUAUUCUGGAGACAGGGUCUCACUCUGUCACCCAGGCUGGAGUAAAGUGAUUCAAUCACAGCUCAGGAAGCAUCGAACUCUGGGGCUCAAGCGAUCCUCCUGUCUCAGCCUCCCAAACAGCUGGGACUACAAGCAUGAAUCACUAUGCCUGGCCAACCUACUCUAUCUUUUGAGUUUCAUACUUCAUCCCUGGAUAACCCGGUCAAUAAUCAGGUUUAUAAAGAUCCCAAUGUUUAACCCAGGAAAAAUAAGAUGUUCCCCCAGUGCCGGGGUAGAAGACAUCUGCAGAUCAGACACAGGGACCAGGACUCCAAGUUGGGAACACUUCCCAAAAAGCAUCAGUAGGCCUGGCGCAGUGGCUCAUGCCUGUAAUCCCAGCACUUUGGGAAGCUGAGGCAGGUAGAUCACCUGAGGUCAGGAGUUCAAGACUAGCCUGGCCAACAUGGUGAAACCCUGUCUCUACUAACAAUACAAAAAUUAGCCAGGUGUGUUGGCGGGCGCCUGCAAUCCCCGCUAUUUGGGAGGCUGAUGCAGGAGAAUCGCUUAAACUCAGGAAGCGGAGGUUGCAGUGAGCUGAGAUCGUGCCAUUGUACUCCAGCCUGGAUGACAGAGCGAGACUCUGCCUCAAAAAAAAAAAAAAAAAAAAAAAAAAAGCAUUAGUAAAUAUUUCUGGAAUCCUCUAGGAAAAGAAUGAAGCAGGAUUCACAUGGAAUGAAGACAGAAAAAGCAUAAGCUAUCUCCUGCAGGUGGAGAAAGAAACAGAAGUUAGCAAUGCUAAGACUAUCUUCUUUAUUAAAGUUACCAAAAAUAGGCCAGGCGCGGUGGCUCACGCCUGUAAUCCCAGCACUUUGGGAAGCCGAGGCAGGUGGAUCACUCGAGUCCAGCAGUUCACGACCAGCCUGGGCAAUAUGGUGAAACCCCGUCUCUACAAAAAAUACAAAAACUAGCUGCGCGUGGUGGUGCACGCCUACAAUUCCAGCUACUCAGGAGGCUGAGGUGGGAGAAUCGCUGAGCCUGAGAGGUGGAGGUCGCAGUGAGUCAAGGUACCGCCACUGCACUCCAGCUUGGGUAACAGAGCAAGACCCUGACUCAAAAACAAAAAGAAGUGAUGGGAGGGAAGGCAACCUCCCACGGUGCACCACCUCCUGGUCUUGACAGUCGACUCACAAACCAUCACUUGUUUAUAAACGCGUUUCCGAUCUGCCAUCGUAAUUCCAUUUUAGUCAUGCAUCCCGAGAUCAUUCAAACCACACCCAAGAGAGACUGGACGACAGCACUCACUAGGGUGCUAUUUAUAACCAUACAAUGCAGGAGGCUAGCUGCGUGUCGAUCUGGGGGACAGUUUAAUAAACUGCCACACAACACAGCUGAGCUCCACACAGCCACAUGAGGAUGGGGACAGCCAUUCCUUGGGUUUCUGAAUAACGUAUCAAGUGAGCAGUGAAUUUCAAUCAAGCUUGUACAUCAGGACCGUCUUGCCAAAACAACAGUUGCUUUUGGAUGCUGGGCGGCGGGGGGUGGUGGAGGGGGUUCUAUUUACAGUGUCUGGGCUUUGACUCCACUAACUGU